CGUUGAAAUACUGAUUCUCAUAUGAUCAGUAAAAUUAAGCAAUGUUGAGCCUGUUCAGUAUUUAGAUGGGUGACCACUUGGGAAUACCAAAUGCUGUAA